rnacentral:lncRNA from 1 species
GGCGGACGGCCGGACGGGCAAUCGAAGCGAACGGGCGGCGUCGGCUAGGGGCAAUCCAGUCCAAAGUUCACCCUGCCAUGGCACAACGUCAAGCUUUGUAAAAACGGGCCAAAGGCCCAGAACGUCGACUUUUUUGAGUACGGAGGGAGUAUCUCCAACGCCACCGCCACACAAAGCCUAGCACUGUCUAGGUUAGUUGACUAGCAAAAGCAAUUGUCACUGCUGGAGAACUGGCUAUCGUUCCAGCACAAAAAUAUCGGAUAGAGCACGCGGGGACCCGGUACUAAUGUAAUUUGCACACAUAGCACCAACAGGUACUAAUAAGCUAGCAGCAUUAAAGUAUCGGAUGGUGAUAUCAACCGGCAGCCCCACUACAAAACACCCUUCUUCCUCCCCAAGCCAGAGCCAUGAACAGAGAAGCCCAUUCUUCAUGGUGAUGAGGGCUCAGGAGAGGUGCUGCACAAUAUUUUCACGAUUUUGUGGAGAUUUUACUCAUCCAAGUCGUCCAAACGUUAGCAACUUGAUCCUCCAAUCUUUUAUGGUUACGAUGGUGUAUUUUUUAAUUUUAGAUUUAGAGACAUUUGUAUUUUGAUUCAUAUAUACAUCCAUUGGAGCUCUAAUUCUUGUGGUAGUUUGCAUGUAUAGGUACAUUUUUCCCUUAACGACAGGAAAACGCCAAUUAGAAAGCUAUUUUCCGGUGUGGCAAAUUAUUUCCAUGAUGAUGCCAUGUAGAGAAGUGCCGACGUGAGAAUUGACAACGCCGGCAAAUUAAAGUCGUAGUGGAAGAUUGAUUAACUCGGCGCUGAUUCGCCGCACGUUUCCCACAUCCACCGCGGCCGGAUCGCGGCACCGUGCCCUGUCCCGUUGAGUCCAUUGAACUAGAGUACUCCUACCAUAUAAAGGUUAAAGGUCCCGCACGUAGUAGAACACACAGUCAAGCCACUGUAGUAACCAGCUGCUACUGCUACAGCCUAGCUAGUUAGGGCAGUCCAAUGGGACAUUGAUGAUAGUUUCUAUGUCUAUUAAUUACCUUGACAACUCAGCUUUUUGCUUAUAUGGCAAUGAAGUUAAUGUAGAGAGAGAACACACAACUAAGAAAUGGUUUCCUUCUCAGGAAACUAAGUCUUCACGGGAAUCAACGCACCAAGAAACCAGAGAAAUGGCAUUGGGGAGAAACCACCGGUUUCCAACGGCCUCCUCUGGAUCCAGUGCGCCUGGAACAGGGAGUCCACCAGGCACCGGGCCUCCUUUAAUUACGUGCAUAGAGGAUCUGGUACUAGAAGAGAGAAUGAUCGGUUGGAUUUUUGUUUAGACUCUAGAUAAAAAAAAGUUACAUUGUGAAGGAUGAUUUCUUGCUACAAUAUCCUAGACUAUGGAAACUACGAUGGUUUCUCCCAUUGGGACUGCUCUUAGUGGGUGUUUGGUUCCUUUGGUCCAUGGUGGACUAAACUUUAGUCCCUACCUGUUUGGUUCCAUUAAUGCAGUUGAAUAAAGACCAUUUUACCCCUGCUACCCACUGCCUGGUACCCCUGCUACCCACCACCUGGUUCAGCGAGAAUGAACUGCAAAGAUGGAUUGCAACAGCACAGUGAGCACCAGGCUCUUUCCCUUGGAUUCCGAUGCAGGCUCUUCCUACCUUCUUCUCUGUCCUCGGAAACUCUUCCUGCAUCAAGCAAGCGUGAGCGGCGGUGGCGGCCCCGAUCCCCUACCUUCUCCUCAUCCCUCCCCUUCCUCUCCUUCUCCCUCUCUUCCUGUUUCUUCCUUCUAGAUCUCGAUCUGUGGCUUCAAUGGCGCAAGGGCAUGGGAGCGCAGCAGCGUGCGGCCUGGGCAUCUGUUGCCUUCGGCGUGCGCCUCUGGCCGGCCCCAGCACGGUGGCAGGCGGACUUGAGCGGCCGGCCCCACCGCGGUGGUGGGCCACCACGGGUGACAUGCUUGGCGGCGCGCUGCAAUGGCACUGUGCAGCCUGGGGCUGUUGCUGCUGUCGGUGCACGGCCCUGGCCGGCGGGAGCCGGGCGGGAGGCGGGCGGCGGGAGCCGGGCGGGAGGCCGGCGGCGGGGGUGGCGGAGGGACGCCGACGGCGACGGCGGUGGGGGCUGGGUGGGAGGGACGCCAGCGGCGGGCGGGAGGGCGGCGGAGGCCGGCGGGAGGAAGGGCAAUAAAUGAGAGGGGCAGGGGUGUCCCCAACAUCCUUUAGUCCAGUUUAGUCCAGUUCUAUGGAUUAGAGGACUAAAGCCUUUAGUCCAAACUUUAGUCCACCUGUUUGGUUGUUUAGGGACUAAAAAUGCCUAAAAACAGUGGACUAAAGUUUAGUCCAUAGUAACCAAGCAGAGCCUUAGCCAACUUGACGGUAGGAUUCCAAUGGCCAUGGCUGCUGGUACUCCCGCUUCCAUAGCGUGCGAGGUCAUGGCCGAGGCGCGGGAGGCGGCCAUCCAUCUGCUGGCCCUCCUCUGAGAAGAUCAUGGCAAGCAAGAACUCACCGAGAAGUAGAUCAUCUGCUGCAUCGACUGCGCUCGGGCCGCAUUACACGGCUUCGGCACCGGCGAUGACAGCAAAGGCCCGACGGAGCAAGGGUUGGCGGCUCAGCCUCCGGCCUGGUCGAUCUAGGCUGUAGCGUGAGGAAGCAGGUCGAUCGAAAGGAGGACGACCCAUCCCUAUUCCACGUCGCCUACUUCGACGAGCACACGUCGGCGUGCCCCAGGGACAGCCGCUUCGUGCUGCCAACUUCCCUCGACGUCGACGGCUUCAGGUCAUGCUCGCCGGCGGAGGGUAAGAAGCUGACGGCGAACAUGGUCGAGUUCACAAUGGAGUACUGGCCAUUUCCUCCUCCCGGCUUCCAUUUUCCCCAAGCCUUUUCCCUUCCCUUUACUCGGAGCAAGUGCUGGCAGGAGCAGGGCAUGCAGCGGCGAUGCAUGAGGAGACGUGGGGCAGCGUGCUGCCAGGCGCAGGGCAGUGGCGGAGCAUGGGUGUAAUGGCUUAGAUUUAAAUCAGCUGAGAUAAUCUUAAGACAAGCCCCUAAUCUGGUUGACUCAAUCUUCUUAAGCUAUAUCGGCUAACCAAUUUGGAGUAAAAAUUAGAUCAGUUCAGCGCAUAUGGAGGCAAGGUAAAAACCAACUUUCUCAAAACAUUCCGGUCGUGGUUCCUAAUCUAAAGAAAGGUAGAAGUGGCCGCAAAGCAAUCCCUCUAGAUUUGGAAAAGUUGCGGGAUAUUCCUCUCAAGCAAAGGAUGACCAUAGAAGAUGUGUCUAGUAAACUUGGUAUUAGCAAAUCUAGGAUACAAAGGUAUUUGAAAAGGGGUUUCAUUAGGCGCCACUCUAGUAGCAUCAAACCUUACCUCACUGAUGAUAACAAGAAGACUAGGUUGAAGUGGUGCAUUGACAUGAUUGAUCAAGGUUUGCUUGAUGAUCCAAAGUUCAAGGAUUUGUUUGACUUUGUGUUUAUUGAUGAGAAGUGGUUCUACCUCACUCAAAACUCAGAGAGGUACUACUUGCUACCCGAGGAAGAUGAACCACACCGCCUUUGCAAGAACAAGAACUACAUCCCUAGGAUCAUGUUCUUAUGUGUAUAUGCUCGGUCACGAUUUAGAAAUGGAGUAUGUGUGUUUGAUGGCAAAAUAGGUUGCUUUCCACUAGUCAAUUUUGAACAAGCUAUUAGAGGAAGCCACAACCGUCUUCGUGGAGAGGAAGUAAUCAAACCAAUUCAAUCAAUCACAAGGGAUGUGAUAAGAGAUUUCAUGAUAAAUAGAGUGUUGCCCGCAAUUAGAGCAAAGUGGCAAGGAGAAGAUGUCAACAAGCCAAUAUUCAUUCAACAAGAUAAUGCUCCAUCUCAUUUAAAAGUCGAUGAUCCUCAUUUUUGUGCGGUUGCAAAGCAAGAUGGGUUUGACAUUAGGCUUAUAUGUCAACCACCCAAUUCUCCAGAUUUUAACAUUCUAGAUUUGGGGUUUUUUCGAGCUAUUCAAGCCAUUCAAUACAAGAAAGAUGCUAAGACAAUUAAAGAUCUAAUUCCAGCAGUGCAAGAGGUAAAUGAUCAUCCAUUCGAUUGAUUAAAUUGAUCUUGAACAACUAAAGUACUCUACUCACUACAAUCUGUUUUUUGUAGGCAUUUUUGGAGUACUGUCCAAAGAAAGCAAAUAGGAUCUUUGUCACACUACAAACUAUUUUGAAGGAAGCAAUGAAGGUAAAAGGUUGCAACAAAAUCAAGAUUCCUCACAUGAACAAACAAGCACUAGAGAGGGAAAAGAGGCUGCCAUUGCAAAUCCCUUGUGAAGCUUCAUUGCUAGCCGAAUCACUUGCUAGUCUUCCUGUAACAAAUUAGAAGAUGCAAGUUUAUGCAAAUUAUUAGAUGAGUGUAUCUUAGGUUUGCAAUGGCCAAAUUGAGAGAUGUUGUACUGUACCUUAGUGCUCUUUGUUUGCUGCUUCUUAAUAUGCUCUUCCACCUUCUUCAAAACGUCAUCAGUCAACUUGAUUCUAGUACCAUCCAUUUCAAGUUUGGCCACAUCAGGAAUAUAGAACUCGCAAUCGAAUUUGUCCAUUAGAUGGAACCACUUUACUGGCAUAUCGUAAUCUUCGUGUAGAAGUCCACAACGGCCACACCUGCGUGCGUUCCGACGAGCUUGGUAGCAAGCUUCUCCGAAGACACCGCCAGCGUGGAACGUGCCACAGCGAGGGCAUAGAGACUCGAUGGAGUCAGGCUCGACGGAGUCGGGCACCAUGUCGACUGAGUCUGCAACCAUGUCGACGGAGGCCGCGACCUGCUCGACGGAGUCCGGCACCUCUUCGACGUCCGCGAACGUCUCAUCCGAGUCCGCGAACACCGACGAGGCCGCGAUCUGCUCGACGGAGUCCGGCACCUCUUCGACGUCCGCGAACGUCUCAUCCGAGUCCGCGAACACCGACGAGGCCACGACGGCGAGCACCUCCUCCGCAACGGACUCCGACGAGGCCGCGACGGCGAGCGCGCGACGAGCAGCGAGCACGCGGCGAGCGCCCUGCGACGAGCGUACAGGCGAGCGAGCGGCGAGCGCGCGGCGCACUUUCGGCGAGCGUGUGGCGAGCGUCAUGGCGAGCGUGCGGCGCGAGUGAUCCAUUCGUGGCGGCAAGGAACAACAACGAACUCUAAUAGCGAGUUGAGCGUGGAGAGGAAGAUGAAGGAGCAAGCGUGCUAUGGGAGAUCGUGUUGAGGCAAAUGAAGGAGUGGCGAGCUUGCUGAAGCCAGCUGCCAGCGUGAAUCGAGGUGACGCAAUUAAUGGGGAGUGAAGACGGGCGGACGGCCGGACGGGCAAUCGAAGCGAACGGGCGGCGUCGGCUAGGGGCAAUCCAGUCCAAAGUUCACCCUGCCAUGGCACAACGUCAAGCUUUGUAAAAACGGGCCAAAGGCCCAGAACGUCGACUUUUUUGAGUACGGAGGGAGUAUCUCCAACGCCACCGCCACACAAAGCCUAGCACUGUCUAGGUUAGUUGACUAGCAAAAGCAAUUGUCACUGCUGGAGAACUGGCUAUCGUUCCAGCACAAAAAUAUC